ensembl:lncRNA
CUUCAUCAGAUCUUGGGGUGGUGGCAGAGGGCAGAUGCCAAAUGCAGAAGUGCGGAUCUGUGGAAACAGCCCGAAGCUGUUCAUGUGAACUGUCAUAACUUCGGCAGGGCCGUGUGGUCACUAGUCACCUUGCUGGUCCUGGACGAGAUAAUUGCACAAUGAAGGUUUAUCUGCUUUCAAGAGGCUUACUGAAGUGUAACACUGCUAGAAAGGAGAUAUGAAUGCUACAGCCCUUGUGAUGAUUGAUCUUGUGGAGUUGAGUGGAUUGAGAAACAUCUAGGAAAUUAGGAAAGGAAAUUUAUAGGUGUCUAGGAAAGUGUCUCUAGAGAUGACUGGCAUGUGGGACAGCAAACUGAGUGUGUGUGGGGGAACCAGCCCUGAAUGUGAGGUGUCACCAAUGUUCUGUGGGGCCUAAAUGGAACAAAAA